GUGUCACAUAUACAUAGUGUCUCACACAGUCUCACGUAUACAUAGUGUCAUAUACACAGUGUCUCACACGUGUCUCUCACACAGUCUCUCACAGUAAAUACACAGUCUCUCAUGGUGUCUCACACACACACUGUCACAUACAUAGGCUGUCUCGCACAUAUACUGUCUUGGUGUCUCACAGUGUCACACACACACAAUGUCUUGGAGUAUCAGUGUCUCUCACACAGACUCACAUAUACACAGAGUAUCACAUACCCGUGUCUUGGUGUCUCACACAUGGCAUCUGACACACACUCUCACACACAAUGUCUUAGAGUUCUGACACAGCAUCUCUCACACGAGGUCUCUCCCACACAUAUGCUGUCUCACACAAAACAUACACGAUAUCACAUACACACAAGCACGUGGCCAUCCCACUGCCACCCGCACACACAGCCACAUAUGGAGAACUGCUUCACAUC
rnacentral:lncRNA from 10 species